CUCCACAGAGGACAAGAGGAUCUGUGACAGAGAAAUUACGACUUGCUUCAUGUCCGGACGAAGGAUAGGAUCCUCAUCGAUGCAUUGCUUCGCAAGCAUGGCCAACUAGACAAGGAAAGUUUUGAGAAGAAAUAACUAGACAUAUUAUUUGGUGAGGACUAUGAGAGAUCGAAAGGUGAUUGAAUUUACCUUGAAUACACAAUCAUGAGGAUACAAAUCCAUCAAAUUCAGGUCGACAUAAUCUUUCAAGCUUGACAUGCUCAUUGAGUCAGGUGAGUUCCUAAGCACUGAUAACAUCUGCAAUUUAACAACCGUCAAUGGAAUUCAGUGAGACAAAUAGCAUCAAUAUUGCAGUGUGCUCAGGUAAUGACUUGCCAUAGAAAAACAUAAUGAAUGAAACACAUCCACAUAAGACAGUAGUUAACAUAUCUGAUACAAUGUAUAUUUGUCCAUAAUAAUUUGGUUCCAUGUUUUUUGAGAAUACAACACAAGCUCCCAGUUGGGAAGUGGUUAGACAUCAUUAAGUGAAGUUAAUUGCUUAUAUUUCAAAGAUAUAGCAGAAAGUAUUGUAGUUUUAAGUAAGUUCCGAAUUGUCA